rnacentral:lncRNA from 1 species
UAGGCCAAGAUGGGAAGGGCCUUACACUGUUCUUCUUUCAAACCCCUCAUCAAUAAAAAUUAUGGGAGUCGACUGCUGGAUACAUCACACUUGAGUCAAAGCCUGGAGAGCUGAGGGAGAGAUCCCUGACAGCCCAAAGGAGCGUCCUGAAUAUCAAUGUGAAGAAAUAGGAUAUCUUAAGCUGAAAAUCACAAAAGAAAGAAACUUAAAUAUCAUUAACAUAUCAGAAGAACGGAGGCUGGAACAUCCACAACAAAAUCUUUUGUAAUUGUCCUCGUAACAAUUUUUUUUCUCUCUGGAUAGGAUUGCCACUGUGGUAAUCACUCAGAAAUCUGUGUUAGUAAUUAGAAUGGGUUACAGAGGCAGAGAACACUCUCCUCUGCAGGAAGAUGAACCACAGACUUUCAAAAAGGGUAUGUUGUUAAAGGAAGUUUAGUGAAUAAGUUUAUUGUCAAAUGUCAUUCUUUUUAUGUUCAUGUAGUCACUGGCCCAUUUACACUUUGCAUUCAUUAUUCAGUAGCUAAAUUGUGAAAUAUUGCAAGAAAUAAUUUACCAAGAAAGCUAUGUACUCUUAGGUAUUCUUAUUUUUUAUAUAUUACAUAAUCAAAUUCAAUAACAUGGGAAUGUAUAACCUAAUUAAAUUUGACAGUACAUACUAAAAUUAAUGUACAAUUUUACUGGCUUUGAAAUGUGUCAACCUUAUGUAUUGAGGUUUGUUUUUACAUUUUCAUUACAGAAUCAAAGUAAUAUGUUUUAAAUAUUAAGGUAAUAUUUGUCAAAAUACGGUAAUUUGAAAGCUGAAUCAAUAUAUGUAAAGUCAAGAGGGAAGUCAUAUUUUUAGCUAGAUACUACAAAUUGUUAGUAUAACAAAAAUGCAGCCAUCUUUGAUUUUUUGUUUAUUCUCAACAAUUCGUGGGAACAUUACGCAGUAAUGAUUUGUAGACAACCAAUGUUAAGGAG